ensembl:lncRNA
GUCACUGUAGUUCAACAGUUUCUAAAAGAGUCGUUAUUGCUUAACCACAUCGAAUUUAUCGCGGCUAUCCAGUGCGCACCGUCUCCCCCGCUGUUCUCCAGCAGAACUUACAAAGCAACGCACAGGAUCCACAAAUACAUGAGGACAUUCUGGGCCUAAUCCUCUUCAACUAAAUCUGGAGACAAUCUAGGAUAUCAAGCAGAACGUUCAGGGAACAGAUGCGUUCUUUAUAACAAGUUUUGUGGAACCACAGUGAGAACUACUGGUUGUACUCUCCAUUGUUUUUCAUCACUGAACUUGUCUUGGAAGGUUACAGGAACCUAUUGAAACCAUUGAAGUGGAGCCAUCAGCGAUGUCAGCAGCGAUGCCUACAUGCUCGGUGAUGUGUAGGGAGCGUUUUGAUAAUUAUAUAGAAUUAUAAUUUGUGUGGGAGACGGUGCUGCCUCUGUCUAUUAUCACCAAUAACCUCAGACACAAUAACUUUACACAUUUACAUAUUUCCCUCCUAAAAAAAAUUUAUUUCAGUCUUAGGUCCAAACCAGGAAUAAUCAGAGUUAUUGAAGGAAUGGCAUUUGUGCACUACAGUGUGCUGUCCAGUUCUCAAACAUAAUGAAACUAAACCAUGCUCAGUUUUAUAGCUAAAACACAGAUCUCUAGCUUAAAUUAAUACUGUUUUGUCAGCUGUCCAUAUGAUCUGAUACAACCUGUCGUGCCAUUUUAAGUGUACUGCUUAUUUGUGGAUUCAUCAUCCUCUAAACUUGGUCCUUAAUGUAGGGCUCUGGCUCAGUAGCCUUCCACCCAGUCUGAAGAACAGUAAGUGCCAGGCAAAUGCCUAUGCAUUUUAGAUAAGACCAUAAAACAUUUAGGUAAAUAAGACGCCAAUGCAUAUAUGUAGUUAGGGCCCAGUGCUGUUUUAAAGCCUGGCAGGGCUAUGUCCUGCUUUUUAGUCACACACUAACGUUUACACUUACCAACAGCCAAUCAGUGCCCUGACCCGUUAAGAACCACAAAUUCUCCAACUGCCAUUCAAAUGGUCUGCAACUUCUAAAAGCACCGGAAUGCAAAUUAUUUAGUACAAGAUUUAUUUAGCACAAAUUAUUUAUUUAGCAUGAGCUUAAAAAAUGUAGACAUUUAUAUG